rnacentral:tmRNA from 1 species
CUGCUUAAUGACUGAAUUAUAGUAGGUCUGGCCAUGUCCUACAAGGUAGGAAUGCAAGAUGUCUCGAAAUAAUUUUUGUUAAUAAUUUUUUCAUAGAGAUACCAUUAAAUUAACAUAGGAUAAUUAAUUCUUCAGUAAUUAUCUGAAUUCAUUGAAGAUAAGUAGUGUUUGUGUAGUUUUCAGCAAGAAUACUAACGAAAAUCAAAUGAAAACUAAAUUUGUAGAAAUCUAGUAUUUCAGUCGUUUGGACGAGGGUUCGAUUCCCUCCGACUCCACUA